GGGGCCUUAGCUCAGCUGGUAGAGCGCCUCGUUUGCACCGAGGAGGUCAGGAGUUCGACUCUCCUAGGCUCCACCA
rnacentral:tRNA from 1 species